rfam:Thioclava atlantica strain 13D2W-2 contig37, whole genome shotgun sequence.
GAGGUAACACUCACUGGAGGGCCGAACCCACACCUGUUGAAAAAGGUCGGGAUGACGUGUGGCUAGGGGUGAAAGGCCAAUCAAACUCGGAGAUAGCUGGUUCUCCGCGAAAGCUAUUUAGGUAGCGCGUCGAUUGUAUUCUCCCGGGGGUAGAGCACUGCAUGGAUGAUGGGGGCCCACAGCCUUACUGAGUCUAAGCAAACUCCGAAUACCGGGAAGAACUGAUCGGCAGACACACGGCGGGUGCUAACGUCCGUCGUGGAGAGGGAAACAACCCUGACCAACAGCUAAGGCCCCCAAUUCGUGGCUAAGUGGGAAAGCAUGUGGGACUUCCAAAACAACCAGGAGGUUGGCUUAGAAGCAGCCAUCCUUUAAAGAUAGCGUAACAGCUCACUGGUCUAGUUAAGAGGUCCUGCGGCGAAGAUGUAACGGGGCUCAAGCCACGAGCCGAAGCUUUGGAUGCGCAGUGAUGCGCGUGGUAGCGGAGCGUUCUGUGAUAUAGAACGCUGCCUCCUUACGCUCUUCGGAGCUAUUGGAGGCAAUGUUCUGACUGUGAAGCCGGGCUGUAAGGCAUCCGGUGGAGUGAUCAGAAGUGAGAAUGUUGACAUGAGUAGCGACAAACAGGGUGAGAGACCCUGUCGCCGAAAGUCCAAGGGUUCCUGCUUAAAGCUAAUCUGAGCAGGGUAAGCCGACCCCUAAGGCGAGGCCGAAAGGCGUAGUCGAUGGGAACCAGGUUAAUAUUCCUGGGCCAUGUGGUGGUGACGGAUCGCGAGGGUAGUUCUUCCUUAUCGGAUUGGAAGGGCUGCUUAGCGGUUCCUGGAAAUAGCCCCACUUUAAGAUCGUACCCGAAACCGACACAGGUGGACUGGUAGAGAAUACCAAGGCGCUUGAGAGAACCACGUUUAAGGAACUCGGCAAAAUGCCUCCGUAAGUUCGCGAGAAGGAGGCCCCAUUCGCACGCAAGUGUGGGUGGGGGGCACAAACUAGGGGGUGGCGACUGUUUACUUAAAACACAGGGCUGUGCGAAGCCGUAAGGCGACGUAUACAGUCUGACGCCUGCCCGGUGCCGGAAGGUUAAAAGGAGGUGUGCAAGCACCGAAUUGAAGCCCCGGUAAACGGCGGCCGUAACUAUAACGGUCCUAAGGUAGCGAAAUUCCUUGUCGGGUAAGUUCCGACCUGCACGAAUGGCGUAACGAUCUCCCCGCUGUCUCAAACGUGGACUCAGCGAAAUUGAACUGUGUGUCAAGAUGCACACUACCCGCGGUUAGACGGAAAGACCCCAUGAACCUUUACUAUAGCUUCGCACUGGCAUCAGGCAUGUGAUGUGCAGGAUAGGUGGUAGGCUUUGAAACGGGAACGCCAGUUUCCGUGGAGCCAUCCUUGAGAUACCACCCUUCGCCUGCUUGAUGUCUAACCGCGGCCCGUUAUCCGGGUCCGGGACCCUGCGUGGUGGGUAGUUUGACUGGGGCGGUCGCCUCCCAAAGUGUAACGGAGGCGCGCGAAGGUUGGCUCAGACCGGUCGGAAAUCGGUCGUUGAGUGCAAUGGCAGAAGCCAGCCUGACUGCAAGACUGACAAGUCGAGCAGAGACGAAAGUCGGCCAUAGUGAUCCGGUGGUCCCGAGUGGAAGGGCCAUCGCUCAACGGAUAAAAGGUACUCUGGGGAUAACAGGCUGAUGGUGCCCAAGAGUCCAUAUCGACGGCACCGUUUGGCACCUCGAUGUCGGCUCAUCUCAUCCUGGGGCUGGAGCAGGUCCCAAGGGUAUGGCUGUUCGCCAUUUAAAGAGGUACGUGAGCUGGGUUUAGAACGUCGUGAGACAGUUCGGUCCCUAUCUGCCGUGGGUGUAGGAUACUUGAGAGGAGUUGCCCCUAGUACGAGAGGACCGGGGUGAACGGACCACUGGUGGACCAGUUAUCGUGCCAACGGUAGUGCUGGGUAGCUAUGUCCGGACAGGAUAACCGCUGAAGGCAUCUAAGCGGGAAGCCCCCCUCAAAACCAGGUAUCCCUUGAGGGCCGUGGAAGACCACCACGUCGAUAGGCUGGAGAUGUAAGCGCGGCAACGCGUUCAGUUGACCAGUACUAAUUGCCCGAUUGGCUUGAUUUG